rnacentral:rRNA from 1 species
AACGAACGCUGGCGGCAUGCCUAACACAUGCAAGUCGAACGAGAUCUUCGGGUCUAGUGGCGCACGGGUGCGUAACGCGUGGGAAUCUGCCCUUUGGUUCGGAAUAACAGUUGGAAACGACUGCUAAUACCGGAUGAUGACGAAAGUCCAAAGAUUUAUCGCCAGAGGAUGAGCCCGCGUAGGAUUAGCUAGUUGGUGUGGUAAAGGCGCACUAAGGCGACGAUCCUUAGCUGGUCUGAGAGGAUGAUCAGCCACACUGGGACUGAGACACGGCCCAGACUCCUACGGGAGGCAGAAGUGGGGAAUAAUGGACAAUGGGCGAAAGCCUGAUCCAGCAAUGCCGCGUGAGUGAUGAAGGCCUUAGGGUUGUAAAGCUCUUUUACCCGGGAUGAUAAUGACAGUACCGGGAGAAUAAGCUCCGGCUAACUCCGUGCCAGCCGCCGCCGUAA